UGCCUUGAAGAUCGGAGUGCUUGCACUCUGUGAAACAAGAUACAGACUAGCGGCGGACGGGUGUGUAACACGUGGGUAACCUGCCCAAGAAAUCGGGAUAACACCUGGAAACAGAUGCUAAUACCGGAUAACAACAGAUGAUGCCUAUCAACUGUUUAAAAGAUGGUUCUGCUAUCACUCUUGGAUGGACCUGCGGUGCAUUAGCUAGUUGGUAGGGUAACGGCCUACCAAGGCGAUGAUGCAUAGCCGAGUUGAGAGACUGAUCGGCCACAUUGGGACUGAGACACGGCCCAAACUCCUACGGGAGGCAGCAGUAGGGAAUCUUCCACAAUGGACGCAAGUCUGAUGGAGCAACGCCGCGUGAGUGAAGAAGGGUUUCGGCUCGUAAAGCUCUGUUGUUGGUGAAGAAGGACAGGGGUAGUAACUGACCUUUGUUUGACGGUAAU
rnacentral:rRNA from 1 species